rnacentral:rRNA from 1 species
AGUGAACGCUGGCGGUAGGCCUAACACAUGCAAGUCGAACGGCCGCACAGUAAGAGCUUGCUCUUACGGGUGGCGAGUGGCGGACGGGUGAGGAAUACAUCGGAAUCUACUUUUUCGUGGGGGACAACGUAGGGAAACUUACGCUAAUACCGAAUACGUCCUACGGGUGAAAGCAGGGGAUCUUCGCACUUUGCGCGAUUGAAUGAGCCGAUGUCGGAUUAGCUAGUUGGCGGGGUAAAGGCCCACCAAGGCGACGAUCCGUAGCUGGUCUGAGAGGAUGAUCAGCCACACUGGAACUGAGACACGGUCCAGACUCCUACGGGAGGCAGCAGUAGGGAAUAUUGGACAAUGGGCGCAAGCCUGAUCCAGCCAUACCGCGUGAGUGAAGAAGGCCUUCGGGUUGUAAAGCCCUUUUGUCGGGAAAGAAAAGCAGCAGGUUAAUACCCCGCUGUUCUGACGGUACCCAAAGAGUAAGCACCGGCUAACUUCGUG